ACAGCAUUAGUCUUCUAGCAUGUGCAAAGCAAAAAAACUUUUGCACUAUUUUUCUUUUUUCCAAACUUAAAAAACAUACUGCUUUGUAGCAAAAGCCUAGUAGUUUUUUAAACUUCAAUCAUGUUUUAAAGUUUAUAAAAACUUGCAAAAAAUUAUAAAGUCCCGUCUAAAUUAUGAAUCUAAAUCUUGAUUUUAUAUUUGAAGAAAUUCGAUUUGUUUGGAAAGAAUUUCGAAAUUUAUUAUUCAAUUGCAAUCCUAGUCCAUUGCAGUUCAAAACUAAUCCAUGCUGUAGUUGCUGUAAAUGUUGCACCAAUAAAGAAAAUGCCCUCAACAUACUGUUUUAUUCAGUGAUAAUAGUUGGACCAAUGUUGGCGAUUCUAAUCGAUCACAAUAAAUUUCCUGACAAAAAAUAAAAUUUAAUGAUAAAUUUCAACAAACGUCUUACUUAUUGACUAUUCUCGAGUAAAAUUCCUUGGACUUUUCAAUUGUGGAUAGAAAUUUAAGAAGUUCUGCAUCUGGUGGUGUUGCCCAUUUUAUGCUACCUUGUUGUCCAGCACGAAUUUCAGCAACUGGUUCUUCUUUGGUGGGCAAUAGUUUUGGAGUUCCACAUGUUUUUUUCACCUGCAAAUUUAAAAAUUAAAUAAAAAACAAUUAAAUUAAAUUGAUAAA